rnacentral:lncRNA from 1 species
UUUUGUUAAUCCAGAUGUUGGGUCUUGACUCCAUUUGAUGGAGUUUGACUCUGACAAGCUAGGUAGGAGCUUGGAAAUGAACGGGUCAAAUGGAUACAAGUUCAAGUAUGAAGCUCGCAAGGAUGCAAGGCAAAAUAAAAAAAAGGCAUUCGGUUACCUUAAUAGGUAAACCGAAGGAUUUAAAUUAUUUAGACAGAAUGUUUUGAAAACAAGAUUUGGUUAAAAAUGAGAAAUUAGAAUCAAACAACAGGUUUGUUUGAUAAAAUCACGAACGGGUCAAAUUUGGUAAAAAGGGUUAAUAAGCCGAAGACUUAAAAGUCUUAAAAUUUUGUUAAUCCAGAUGUUGGGUCUUGACUCCAUUUGAUGGAGGUUCAAUUUACAAUCACGUAGGAAGAAACGGUAGGUCAAACAGACGAGCGGUUUGAAAGAUACGAAAGUUUUCGUGUCAAAAACGGCAAAAAGGAAAGGAAUGAUGCAGGGGCCACCGUAACUUACGGUGCCACCGUAAGUUACGGUGGACAUGAUUUGGUUACGGUAAAUGCCUACUGUUGUACGGUUGAAUAAUUGAAACACAGAGACCACCGUAACUUACGGUGCCACCG